rnacentral:rRNA from 1 species
AAACUGAAGAGUUUGAUCAUGGCUCAGAUUGAACGCUGGCGGCAGGCCUAACACAUGCAAGUCGAGC